rnacentral:rRNA from 1 species
GACGAACGCUGGCGGCGUGCUUAACACAUGCAAGUCGAACGGUGAAGCGCCUUCCUUUUUGGUGGGUGUGGAUGAGUGGCGAACGGGUGAGUAACACGUGAGUAACCUGCCCCCUUCUUCUGGAUAACCGCAUGAAAGUGUUGCUAAUACGGGAUAUUCUGGUUCUGUCGCAUGAUUGGUCUGGGAAAGAUAUUGUUUCGGUGUGGGAUGGGCUCGCGGCCUAUCAGCUUGUUGGUGGGUUGAUGGCCUACCAAGGCGGUGACGAGUAGCCGGCCUGAGAGGGUGGACGGUCACACAGGGACUGAGACACGGACAAGACUACUACGGGAGGCAGCAGUGGGGAAUAUUGAACAAUGGGAGAAAGGCUGAUGCAGCGACGCCGCGUGAGGGAUGGAGGCCUUCGGGUUGUGAACCUCUUUCGCCAGUGAAGCAGGCCUGCCUCGUUUGUGGGUGGGUUGACGGUAGCUGGAUAAGAAGCGCCGGCUAACUACGUG